rnacentral:tRNA from 2 species
GCGGGAGUCGCCCAGCUUGGCCAAAGGCGUAAGGUUGAGGGCCUUAUCCCUAAGGGGUUCGUGGGUUCAAAUCCCAUCUCCCGCA